AGUGAACGCUGGCGGCGUGCCUAAUACAUGCAAGUCGAAUGAGUGGCGCACGGGUGAGUAAUGUAUAGCUAAUCUGCCCUACACUAGAGGACAACAGUUGGAAACGACUGCUAAUACUCUCUAUUGUAGGAUGAGGCUAGAUUGUAUCAGCUAGUUGGUGAGGUAAUGGCUCACCAAGGCUAUGACGCAUAACUGGUCUGAGAGGAUGAUCAGUCACACUUGAAGUGAGACACGGUACGGAAUCCUACGGGAGGGAGCAGUAGGGAAUAGUGCUCAAUGGGGGAAACCAUGAAGCAGCAACGCCGCGUGGAGGAUGACACUUUUCGGAGCGUAAACUCCGUUUGUUAGGGAAGCGGUACCUAACGAAUAAGCACCGGCUAACUCCGUGCCAGCCGCCGCGGUAAUUC
rnacentral:rRNA from 1 species